AUUGUUGGACUUAAUUCAACAGCGUGCAUAAAAAACUGCUAAACUAGAGACCGGGAGGAGAUAGAAGUACGUUAAGGGGAAUGGUAAAAUGUGAUAAUCCUUAACGGACUGCCAAUGGCGAAGGCAUCUAUCUAGAACGGGUCUGACAGUGAGGGACGAAAGCUAGGGGAGCAAUCCGGAUUAGAUACCCGAGUAGUCCUAGCCGUAAACGCUGUGAGUUAUGUGUUGCAUAUUCUCCGAGAAUAUGCAGUGCCGAAGUGAAGAUGUUAAACUCACCACCUGGGAAGUACGGUCGCAAGAUUGAAACUUAAAGAAAUUGGCGGGGGCGCACCACAACGAGUGAAAUGUGCGGUUUAAUUGAAUUUUACGCCGGAAAUCUCACUAGGAGCGACGGCAGUAUGAAGGUCAGAUUAAAGGUUUUACCUAACAAGCCGAGAGGAGUUGCAUGGCCGCCGUCAGUUCGUGCCGUAAGGUGUCCUGUUAAGUCAGGUAACGAACAAGAUCUAUGUCCACAGUUGCUACCAACUCGUUAGAGGAUUGGGCACACUGUGGAGACUGCCUUGGUAACAAGGAGGAAGGUGUAGGCAACGGUAGGUCAGUAUGCCCCGAA
rnacentral:rRNA from 1 species